GUUUUCUUCGGAUACAAAAAUAUUUCGCACAGCAACGUGCGAAAACUAGGGAAGCGUUGGCCCUUCAAUGCACUGCAGUCCACGUGGAUGCGUGCGAUUCGUUUCCGCUGUUGAUUAGAAAAAAGCGCUGGCAGUUUUGCAAUGAACCCCCUCCAAGACCAAACAAAUCAACCCCGUUUCCACAUAUUCCUCCUCCCCAAAAGCCAAGCCCCAAAACAAGAUCCAGAUCUCUCUCCCCCCUUCCAAGACCCUUCUUCCUCCGUGACUUUCCCACUCCGUCGUCAAAUCGCCGCCCACCUCCAUGCCCAGUGGCGCCACUACCACAUCAGAUCCUACAUAUUUCUAUAGGGGUUAUCCAUGGCAAGAAAGAGUUUUUAUAUUGUGAAGAGAGGUCAACGAUGUGACAUUUUUUUAUAAUUGAGAGGAAUGCAAAUUUCAAGUUGAUAAAUUCACAAAUGCCGCAGAGUCAAUACAGACUUGUUUCAAGCACCAGUCUCCAAAUUUUGCAUGCGCAUACAGAAUUUACUGCACUGCACUAAGCUCAGAGGGGUUUUGUUUGAAUUUCGUUCCUAUGUAAAUGUCUUUCAUUAGCGCAUUAAUUUUUUGUACAACAAAUAUUAACUUUGGUUUUUCAAGAGCUUACUUGAUUUGGAUCA